GACGAACGCUGGCGGCGUGCUUAACACAUGCAAGUCGAACGGAAAGGCCCUGCUUUUGUGGGGUGCUCGAGUGGCGAACGGGUGCGUAACACGUGAGUAACCUGCCCUUGACUUUGGGAUAACUUCAGGAAACUGGGGCUAAUACCGGAUAGGAGCUCCUGCUGCAUGGUGGGGGUUGGAAAGUUUCGGCGGUUGGGGAUGGACGCGCGGCUUAUCAGCUUGUUGGUGGGGUAGUGGCUUACCAAGGCUGUGACGGGUAGCCGGCCUGAGAGGGUGACCGGCCACAUGGGGACUGAGAUACGGCCCAGACGCCUACGGGAGGCAGCAGUGGGGAAUAUUGCACAAUGGGCGGAAGCCUGAUGCAGCAACGCCGCGUGCGGGAUGACGGCCUUCGGGGUGUAAACCGCUUUCGCCUGUGACGAAGCGUGAGUGACGGUAAUGGGUAAAGAAGCACCGGCUAACUACGUG
rnacentral:rRNA from 1 species